GAUGAACGCUGGCGGCGUGCCUAAUACAUGCAAGUCGAGCGAACGGACGAGAAGCUUGCUUUUCUGAUGUUAGCGGCGGACGGGUGAGUAACACGUGGAUAACCUACCUAUAAGACUGGGAUAACUUCGGGAAACCGGAGCUAAUACCGGAUAAUAUUUUGAACCGCAUGGUUCAAAAGUGAAAGACGGUCUUGCUGUCACUUAUAGAUGGAUCCGCGCUGCAUUAGCUAGUUGGUAAGGUAACGGCUUACCAAGGCAACGAUGCAUAGCCGACCUGAGAGGGUGAUCGGCCACACUGGAACUGAGACACGGUCCAGACUCCUACGGGAGGCAGCAGUAGGGAAUCUUCCGCAAUGGGCGAAAGCCUGACGGAGCAACGCCGCGUGAGUGAUGAAGGUCUUCGGAUCGUAAAACUCUGUUAUUAGGGAAGAACAUAUGUGUAAGUAACUGUGCACACCUUGACGGUACCUAAUCAGAAAGCCACGGCUAACUACGUG
rnacentral:rRNA from 1 species